rnacentral:lncRNA from 13 species
GGAGGACGUCCCGCUCCCAGCCCCAGACGGUCUAUUAUUUAACAAAGACCUAUAUGAUAAGUACUCCCUGGCGCCGACCAUCAANNAAGGUUGACGUGAAGGAGGAGUUAGAGGACACAACAGGACCAGCCAAGCACCCCUCUACACAGAACCAGUCAAACAGCAACAGUAACAUAAAUAAUGAGAGGAGUGCCACCGGAGAACCCUGUUCUGACAGUCAGGAUGAACACGGUGACCGUAAAGAUGAUCACCCGCCUGCUGGAAAGGGAGUCUCCAGACAGGAACUUAGUCACCCUAAGCACUCCGGCCAGGACCCCAGCCUUCCCAGCCAGGUACCAGAGUUGUUCCCAGAGCCCAGGAUUCCAUACCCCUGUUUCUCCAGACUCACCAGUAAAGACCAGCUGACAUAUCUCCAUGUGCUGACCAGCAAACAGCCCAGAGAGGCUUCUCAGACUCUGUUGCUGCAUGUGAACAGUGAGAGGUCAGAGUUCAUGAGGUACCUGCAGGAAGUGGCCAGGAUGUGUCCCAACGACUACAACUACAUAUCCCAGGGGGCCGCUCUCUACUCAGAGGAGUACCUGAGAGCCUGUCUAGACCAAAUGAGGAUGUAUCCCCAACUUUAUCAGAUCCAUGAGAUAACCAGCCUCACAGGAGGAAACUUCUCGUCUAGCCUCCAGCUCAACUUUGAGAAACAGCUGCUCACUAUGGUGGUGAUCACAGACCACAAAGUGGUGCGUAAUGAAGCACAGUUGGCAUUUGACUACGAGACUGUUUCAUCAGAUAUUCCUCCAGUCAAGAAAGCAAAGCUCUCACACUCUGGCGUCAGUACUGACAGUAAUGCAGAGAAGCUGAGUGGUCGGUAUGAACCCCAUGUUGUCCUGAGUAGAGAAAGUCUGGUCAGACUGCUGGACAACCACGGUCCGGACUUCACUGAUCCCUGGGAGUUACCUGUAGUGGUCAAAACCAACCCUGGGAGAGGGCCCAUAAUUAAGCAUUUCAUUAUUAGUCUACACCUGUUGUUUACGAAGCAUGGGAGCUCUAACUCAGUGUGCGCUCUACAGGAGAGCUCUAACUCAGUGUGUGUUCUACAGGAGAGCUCCCAGAGGAGGCUGGCCUCGUUUGAGACCUCUGGUCUGGACUUUGGACUUGAUCUCACAGACUUAGAAACGUUUGGAGAAACGACUCAGUCCCCCAAGAGGCUGAAGACCCAUAAUCUACAGAAAGACUUGUUCAGUCAGCCUAAAACCAAGUCUAAACAGUACAGCAGAACUCAGGAUGAAGAGGUGAACUUAUUAUGGACAAACACGAAGGUGGUUUCAGAGACAGAGGGGAGAGAGCUAAGAGAGCAGAGCUGUGCUGAACAAUCAUUGGCUGCUACUGUCCCUUCAGCCAAUCAGCUGAAACCUGGCUCUGUACAGGACUCUGAGGAACAGUUAUCCUCAGGUGGAGACUCAGAAGACGAGCGCCUGGUGAUUGAUGACCCUGUAUCCCCAGUCUCCACCACCAACAGGAGAGUGGCCAGGAAGGCUAAGGUACCAGGGGGCUGUGACCAGCUGGGUCAGAUCCUAGCCAUGCAGAAGGCCAUGCUCAAACCCAAACCCUCUAACAACCAGACCCAGGACCCAGCCAGACCCUGCUCCUCCCAUCCCGCAGAACCCCUCUCCAACCCAAACCCCCAGUCGCUGGUGAAGCCCUGUGUGUCCAACUACCUGGAGAGUACCCAGGAUGGAGAGACACCUUUAAACAGGUCAACAUUCACAAGGCUGCAAGGCCAGGUGUAUUACCAGGACGUGUACUCUAAGGUGGUCCCUGUCUAUGUCCUGUCCAAGAUGGAGUACCAGCUUUCUUAUGGAGUGGAGAGUCUAACUAAGACUGAGGCCUGCCGGCUGUGGGCCGAGACACUACUACACUCCAGCACUGUCCCCUAUAUAGGUAAUAUACUAGUAUACUCCAGCACUGUCCCCUAUAUAGGCAAGAUACUACUACAUUGUCCCCUAUAUAUAGGUAAGAUACUACUACACUGUCCCCUAUACAGUGCCUUGCGAAAGUAUUCGGCCCCCUUGAACUUUGCGACCUUUUGCCACAUUUCAGGCUUCAAACAUAAAGAUAUAAAACUGUAUUUUUUUGUGAAGAAUCAACAACAAGUGGGACACAAUCAUGAAGUGGAACGACAUUUAUUGGAUAUUUCAAACUUUUUUAACAAAUCAAAAACUGAAAAAUUGGGCGUGCAAAAUUAUUCAGCCCCUUUACUUUCAGUGCAGCAAACUCUCUCCAGAAGUUCAGUGAGGAUCUCUGAAUGA